rnacentral:misc_RNA from 1 species
GGGAUGAAGAACGCAGCGAAAUGCGAUAAGUAGUGUGAAUUGCAGAAUUCAGUGAAUCAUCGAAUCUUUGAACGCACAUUGCGCCCCUUGGUAUUCCAUGGGGCAUGCCUGUUCGAGUGUCAUUUGUACCUUCAAGCUCUGCUUGGUGUUGGGUGUUUGUCCUUGCUCUAGUGGCGGGACUCGCCUUAAAGUAAUUGGCAGCCAGUGUUUUGGUUUUGAAGCGCAGCACAAGUCGCGAUUCAAGUCUAUACGCUAGUUUCCACAAGUCUUUUAUCACUUUUGACCUCGGAUCAGGUAGGGAUACCCGCUGAACUUAAGCAUAUCAAUAAGCGGAGGA